GUACUUGUUUCAACAGCAUAUAUGCUAAAAUUGGAAUGAUACAGAGAUUAGCAUGGCUCCUGCUCAGGGAUGACAUGCAAAUUAAUGAAGCAUUGUAUUUUUUU
ensembl:snRNA U6 U6 spliceosomal RNA